GUUCUACCUUGACGAAUUGUAGUUUAAAGAAGUGUUUUCUGUUGGAGUUUUGGUAAAAGUUCUUUGGAAUAGGACAUCAUAGAGGGUGAGAAUCCCGUAUUUGACCAUUAUUUCCAACUUUGUGAUACACUUUCAAAGAGUCGGAUUGUUUGGGAAUGCAGUCCAAAAUGGGUGGUAAAUUUCAUCUAAAGCUAAAUACUGGCGAGAGACCGAUAGCGAACAAGUACCGUGAGGGAAAGAUGAAAAGAACUUUGAAAAGAGAGUUAAACAGUACGUGAAAUUGUCAAAAGGGAGGCGUUUGACACCAGUGUUGUUUUCUCGAAAAUCAAUUAAAAAUGGCGGGAUUUUGUGUUGUAUUGACUUUAUCAGCUUUCUGCACUUUUUUCCUGUCUUUUUU
rnacentral:rRNA from 1 species